CUGAUCAGCCAUGCCGCGUGUGUGAAGAAGGCCCUCGGGUUGUAAAGCACUUUCAGCGAGGAAGAACGCCUAGCGGUUAAUACCCGCUAGGAAAGACAUCACUCGCAGAAGAAGCACCGGCUAACUCCGUGCCAGCAGCCGCGGUAAUACGGAGGGUGCAAGCGUUAAUCGGAAUUACUGGGCGUAAAGCGCGCGUAGGUGGCUUGAUAAGCCGGUUGUGAAAGCCCCGGGCUCAACCUGGGAACGGCAUCCGGAACUGUCAAGCUAGAGUGCAGGAGAGGAAGGUAGAAUUCCCGGUGUAGCGGUGAAAUGCGUAGAGAUCGGGAGGAAUACCAGUGGCGAAGGCGGCCUUCUGGACUGACACUGACACUGAGGUGCGAAAGCGUGGGUAGCAAACAGGAUUAGAUACCCUGGUAGUCCACGCCGUAAACGAUGUCGACCAGCCGUUGGGUGCCUAGCGCACUUUGUGGCGAAGUUAACGCGAUAAGUCGACCGCCUGGGGAGUACGGCCGCAAGGUUAAAACUCAAAUGAA
rnacentral:rRNA from 1 species